GAGCGGCGAACGGGUGAGUAACACGUGAGUAACCUGCCCCUGACUUUGGGAUAAGCCCGGGAAACUGGGUCUAAUACCGGAUACGACCAGCCUUGGCAUCGGGUGCUGGUGGAAAGUUUUUUCGGUUGGGGAUGGACUCGCGGCCUAUCAGCUUGUUGGUGGGGUAAUGGCCUACCAAGGCGACGACGGGUAGCCGGCCUGAGAGGGCGACCGGCCACACUGGGACUGAGACACGGCCCAGACUCCUACGGGAGGCAGCAGUGGGGAAUAUUGCGCAAUGGGCGAAAGCCUGACGCAGCGACGCCGCGUGGGGGAUGACGGCCUUCGGGUUGUAAACCUCUUUCAGCAGGGACGAAGUUGACGUGUACCUGCAGAAGAAGCGCCGGCUAACUACGUGCCAGCAGCCGCGGUAAUACGUAGGGCGCAAGCGUUGUCCGGAAUUAUUGGGCGUAAAGAGCUCGUAGGUGGCUUGUCACGUCUGCCGUGAAAGCCCAUGGCUUAACUGUGGGUCUGCGGUGGAUACGGGCUGGCUAGAGGUAGGUAGGGGCAAGCGGAAUUCCU
rnacentral:rRNA from 1 species